CCUACGGGAGGCUGCAGUGGGGAAUAUUGGACAAUGGGCGCAAGCCUGAUCCAGCCAUGCCGCGUGAGUGAUGAAGGCCUUAGGGUUGUAAAGCUCUUUCACCGAUGAAGCGGUAGUCGGAGAAGAAGCCCCGGCUAACUUCGUGCCAGCAGCCGCGGUAAUACGAAGGGGGCUAGCGUUGUUCGGAAUUACUGGGCGUAAAGCGCACGUAGGCGGAUAUUUAAGUCAGGGGUGAAAUCCCGCAGCUCAACUGCGGAACUGCCUUUGAUACUGGGUAUCUUGAGUAUGGAAGAGGUAAGUGGAAUUGCGAGUGUAGAGGUGAAAUUCGUAGAUAUUCGCAGGAACACCAGUGGCGAAGGCGGCUUACUGGUCCAUACUGACGCUGAGGUGCGAAAGCGUGGGGAGCAAACAGGAUUAGAUACCCUUGUAGUC
rnacentral:rRNA from 1 species